AAAUGUGUAUUAUCACUGUCCAACUGCAUGUUAGAGCAUGUGGAGAGACUGACAGUUCAGGUAAGCAUAGUACCUGCAGCUGCCACUUGCCUUUCCUAUAGAC
ensembl:snoRNA